ACAGAUUCUUCGGAUGAAGUCCUUAGUGACUGAGUGGCGGACGGGUGAGUAACGCGUGGGUAACCUGCCUCAUACAGGGGGAUAACAGUUAGAAAUGGCUGCUAAUACCGCAUAAGCGCACGGUACUGCAUGGUACAGUGUGAAAAACUCCGGUGGUAUGAGAUGGACCCGCGUUGGAUUAGCUAGUUGGCAGGGUAACGGCCUACCAAGGCGACGAUCCAUAGCCGGCCUGAGAGGGUGGACGGCCACAUUGGGACUGAGACACGGCCCAGACUCCUACGGGAGGCAGCAGUGGGGAAUAUUGCACAAUGGGGGAAACCCUGAUGCAGCGACGCCGCGUGAGCGAAGAAGUAUUUCGGUAUGUAAACUUCUAUCAGCAGGGAAGAAAAUGACGGUACCUGACUAAGAAGCCCCGGCUAACUACGUGCCAGCAGCCGCGGUAAUACGUAGGGGGCAAGCGUUAUCCGGAUUUACUGGGUGUAAAGGGAGCGUAGACGGAUGGACAAGUCUGAUGUGAAAGGCUGGGGCUCAACCCCGGGACUGCAUUGGAAACUGCCCGUCUUGAGUGCCGGAGAGGUAAGCGGAAUUCCUAGUGUAGCGGUGAAAUGCGUAGAUAUUAGGAGGAACACCAGUGGCGAAGGCGGCUUACUGGACGGU
rnacentral:rRNA from 1 species